rnacentral:rRNA from 1 species
UACGUAGGGGGCAAGCGUUGUCCGGAAUCAUUGGGCGUAAAGAGCGUGUAGGCGGCCAGAUAAGUCCGCUGUGAAAUCUCGAGGCUCAACUUCGAGCUGUCGGUGGAAACUGUCUGGCUAGAGUCCGGAAGAGGAGAAUGGAAUUCCUGGUGUAGCGGUGAAAUGCUUAGAUAUGACAUAGAACACCAAUUGCGAAGGCAGCUCGCUACACAUAUAUUGACUCUGAGGCACGAAAGCGUGGGGAUCAAACAGG